GGCUCGGUAGCUCAGUGGAUAGAGCAAAAGUUUCCUAAACUUUUGGUCGGAUGUUCGAUUCAUCUCCGGGUCA
rnacentral:tRNA from 2 species